UUUAUGUAUUUAAAUAUUUUAUCAGGAGGAUUUGAAAAUUACACAUCAUGCAGACAACAGCCUGAACAGCUUCUGUAAGUGGCAGAAAGGCAUCAAUAUGAAGGAUGAUGAUCAUCCAGUCCAUCAUGAUGUGGCUGUCCUUAUUACUAGAAAAGACAUUUGUGCCGCCAUCAAUAAGCCUUGUGAGACAUUGGGAUUGUCUCAUGUGGCUGGAAUGUGCCAACCUCUCCGCAGCUGCAGCAUCAAUGAAGACACAGGCCUGACCCUGGCAUUUACAAUCGCACAUGAGCUUGGCCACAACUUUGGGAUUCAGCAUGAUGGUAACG